rnacentral:rRNA from 1 species
UGGCGUAAACAAAGGGAGGCAAGCGAGCAAUCGUAAGCAAACCCCAAAAAUAACGUCUCAGUUCGGACUGUGGUCUGCAACUCGACCACACGAAGCUGGAAUCGCUAGUAAUCGCGAAUCAGCAUGUCGCGGUGAAUACGUUCCCGGGUCUUGUACACACCGCCCGUCACACCAUGGGAGUCGGGAACACCCGAAGUCCGUAGUCUAACCGCAAGGGGGGCGCGGCCGAAGGUGGGUCCGGUAAUUGGGGUGAAGUCGUAACAAGGUAUC